GACGAACCGUGCGAACGUUGUUCGGAAUCACUGGGCUUAAAGGGCGCGUAGGCGGCUUGCCAAGUCCGGGGUGAAAUCCUCCAGCUUAACUGGAGAAGUGCCCUGGAUACUGGCGAGCUCGAGCGAGGCAGGGGUUGUGGGAACUUCCGGUGGAGCGGUGAAAUGCGUUGAUAUCGGAAGGAACGCCGGUGGCGAAAGCGCACAACUGGUCCUCUUCUGACGCUGAGGCACGAAAGCUAGGGUAGCGAACGGG
rnacentral:rRNA from 1 species